rnacentral:rRNA from 1 species
UACAGAGGGUGCAAGCGUUGUUCGGAAUUACUGGGCGUAAAGCGUGCGUAGGUUGUAUUGAGAGUCACGGGUGAAAGCCCCAAGCUUAACUUGGGAACUGCCUGUGAGACCUCAGUACUAGAGUAUGAGAGAGGAUUGUGGAAUACCUGGUGUAGCGGUGAAAUGCGUAGAGAUCAGGUGGAACACCGGUGGCGAAGGCGGCAAUCUGGCUCAUUACUGACACUCAGGCACGAAAGCGUGGGUAGCAAACAGG